GAACGCUAGCUACAGGCUUAACACAUGCAAGUCGAGGGGCAGCAUGAACUUAGCUUGCUAAGUUGAUGGCGACCGGCGCACGGGUGAGUAACACGUAUCCAACCUUCCGUUUACUCAGGGAUAGCCUUUCGAAAGAAAAGAUUAAUACCUGAUAGUAUGGUGAGAUUGCAUGAUAACACCAUUAAAGAUUUAUUGGUAAACGAUGGGGAUGCGUUCCAUUAGGUAGUAGGCGGGGUAACGGCCCACCUAGCCUGCGAUGGAUAGGGGGUUCUGAGAGGAAGGUCCCCCCACAUUGGAACUGAGACACGGUCCAAACUCCUACGGGAGGCAGCAGUGAGGAAUAUUGGUCAAUGGACGAGAGUCUGAACCAGCCAAGUAGCGUGAAGGAUGAAGGUCCUACGGAUUGUAAACUUCUUUUAUAAGGGAAUAAACCCUCCCACGUGUGGGAGCUUGUAUGUACCUUAUGAAUAAGCAUCGGCUAACUCCGUG
rnacentral:rRNA from 1 species